rnacentral:lncRNA from 1 species
UGCAGCAGUAACCAUUGUAUAAGAGUGAGGAAACAACAGAAUCCCAGAGAUAUUUGCAUUGAUGUCAAUAACCUGCUGGACUACAGUAAACAGUGGCCUUUUCUCACACUACUUAUGAUGAAAAGAGAAACUUCUGUGACUGCAAUACGAGUAAUGAACUAGAUGUGAUGGUGUGGUGAAUCCGAGCCAGCCCAAGGAGCAGUGGACGUGACUUGAUGCAUCUUAGAAGAGAGUUUGAAU